AUUGAACGCUGGCGGCACGCCUAACCCAUGCAAGUCGCGCGAGCGGCGGACGGGUGAGUAAUGUAUGGGGAACUGCCCGAUAGAGGGGGAUAACUACUGGAAACGGUGGCUAAUACCGCAUACUAUCGGAUGAACCCAUAUGGGAUUAGCUAGUAGGUGGGGUAAAGGCUCACCUAGGCGACGAUCUCUAGCUGGUCUGAGAGGAUGAUCAGCCACACGGGGACUGAGACAAGGCCCAGAAUCCUAAGGGAGGCAGCAGUGGGGAAUAUUGCACAAAGGGCGCAAGCCUGAUGCAGCCAUGCCGUGUGUAUGAAGAAGGUCUUAGGGUUGUAAAGUACUUUCAGCGGGGAGGCGUUACUCGCAGAAGAAGCACCGGCUAACUCCGUGCAAGCAGCCGCGGUAAUUC
rnacentral:rRNA from 1 species